rnacentral:rRNA from 1 species
UACGUAGGCAGCGAGCGUUGUUCGGAGUUACUGGGCGUAAAGCGUGCGUAGGCGGUGCCCUAAGUCUGUUGUGAAAUCUCCCGGCUUAACUGGGAGGGUGCGGUGGAAACUGUGGUGCUGGAGUGUGGGAGAGGUAGGCGGAAUUCCUGGUGUAGCGGUGAAAUGCGUAGAUAUCAGGAGGAACACCUGUGGUGUAGACGGCUUACUGGACCAUGACUGACGCUGAGGCACGAAAGCGUGGGGAGCAAACAGG